CAGUGUGGGACGUGCAAGGUCAAGGUGCUGGCAGGUUCAGUGUCUGGCGAGAGACCUCUCCAUGGUCAUGGACAGCCACCCUCCCAUGCUGUCCUCACCUGGCCUUUCCUUGGUGUGAGCUCAGAAAGAGAGCUCUCCCAUCUCCUCCUCUUCCUAUAAGACCCCCAAUCGCAUCACGAGGGCCCCACCUCCAAACACCACCCCACCGGGGCUUAGGGCUUCCACGCGUGAAUUCUGGGGAGGGUUCACCGGCUGGCUCUGCGUGGGACAGAAGGCGUGCCCCCAUGUCUCCCACAGGAACAGGGCCUCCGUCUGCCUGCUCUGCUGUGGGCAUCGCCAGAAUGCCGUCAACUGGGGGGCGACUCCCUGACUUGCCAGCAAAUCAACGGAAAGGGAGUGCCAGAGUGACGCUUCCAUCCUAGAUGGUCAGAGCACAAGCAGCUUGCCGCUGAUGAAGUCGCCACGGAAGCCAGCCUGGAGAUGCAGAGCAGGAAGAGACCGCCCCGCAUUAAAGAGAACCUGCUGCCCCGUUGACACUCGCCUCUCCCCUGCCCUUCGCCAUGACCCCCGAAGCCUGGAGGGGGGAGAGCAGCCUCUGGCCUGGACGGACAAGGCGGCGGGAGUGCGGGGGAGGGGGUGGCGCUCACUUAGAGAACGGGAUGCGGGUCAGAUGUCCCCUCUGGGUUGGUGGGAAGUUCCUGGGCACUCUGGCCUGGCUGUGUCUCCACGGCAGGGCAGGGGUACUGGGAAGAGGCUGGAAGAGCACUUAGGAAGAGCCCCAUUACUCUGCUUUCCUGGACAUCAGUGAGAGAACAACCUGGGGGUAUUCACACUUGACCGAACACGUGAAACCCGAUGCCCGCCCUGCCCCGACAAGUACCCCUGGCCUUGGUUAGUCUUCUAUAAAAUGGGAAUCUAGAAAUAAUCUGUAAAUAGUUUAUCUAUAAAAUAGGCAUAAUGCCCACAGCUGGUGGAAUUUUAGUGAUGAUGGAACAUAUUUCUAAAGCCCGUGCUUGGAAUAUAGCAGGUGCUCGAUAAAUGGGAGCCUUCGUUAUUA